rnacentral:rRNA from 1 species
UACGUAGGGUGCAAGCGUUAAUCGGAAUUACUGGGCGUAAAGCGUGCGCAGGCGGUUGUGCAAGACCGAUGUGAAAUCCCCGGGCUUAACCUGGGAAUGGCAUUGGUGACUGUACGGCUAGAGUGUGUCAGGAGGGGGGUAGAAUUCCACGUGUAGCAGUGAAAUGCGUAGAGAUGUGGAGGAAUACCGAUGGCGAAGGCAGCCCCCUGGGACUGACACUGACCGCUCAUGCACGAAAGCGUGGGGAGCAAACAGG